UUGGAGUUCUCUAAGCUCCAUAUUUUAAACCUGAACACCUGAAGUUUGAUUAUUAAUUAUUUUUAUCUUCAUUCUCUUUCCUUUUUUCAGAUUGUAUAAAUGCAGUUUGUCAGAGAUCAGCUGUUCUUCUCUGGCCUCAGCUCUGAAGUCCAACCCCUCCCAUCUGAGAUAUCUGGACCUGAGUCACAACAAGCUGCAGGAUUCAGGAGUGAAGCUUCUCUCUGCAGGACUGGAGAGUCCAAACUGUAAACUGGAGACUCUGAGGUGAGACACCAUUUCCUUCUGAUCUAACAAUAAGAUGUGACAGCUGCUGCCUUAGAUUUUUCUCUGUGGUUUUUCCAUCAACUUUGGUCGAGCAGUUUGAAUUUGUCGUUGUAAAACUUCAACACAGGAAGAAAAAUCCGACAUUUCAGAGUCGACUUUGAGUAGAACGAUGGAUGUAGAAAGGAAGCAGGAGAAAAUCAGUCCCACAAAUAUUACACAUGCUUGUAGAGGGCAGGAGCAGCACAGACUAAAGGCUGAUACUGAACUGAUCCACAGUUAAUGUGAUCACUAAUGAAUGAAGUGUCAGAGAAAUGAUGAGCUGCAGAUUGAAACCUGAAGAACAAAGUUAAUCCAACUCUGGAUAUUUCAUUUGGAAACUCUUGAAAACUUGAAUUUCUUCUUUGCUCAGUCGUGUUCAAAUGUAAAAACCAGAUCCAGAUUUGUCUGCAGUUUUCACUUCAGUUUGUUGAACAUGAACAUCAUCUUGUCCAGCUGGUCCAUAAAAACCUCUCUGAUCAAUGAUCUGUUGGUUUAUUUAAGAGUAGUUUGGCAGUUGUUGACAGCAGACGGACAGACCCCUGAAUAAACUCCUGACUAUUUUCAUCUUCAUGAAGAAUUCAGGACUACAAAAGAACCUUUGAGAUUUCUCACAGGAGUUUCUCAGGAUCUCACUAAAGUUUUCUGUUUCUGUAAAAUUUUCUCGACUGAUAAAUUCCUCUGGAUCUUCAAAAAGUUUAGAGAGGAUUUUACAAAGUUCCUGAAGAUCAACUCUGAAAAAGUUCUUCUUCCGUGUCCUUCAGGGUUCAAGAACAUUGAAUCAUUAAAAACAGGAACAGUUUCUUCAGAGGUUACAUGAUUUUUUUCUUUUUUCAGACUGUGACAGGUGUUUAUUAGUCUUUUUGACUCAUUACAAUAAUGAGGAUAAAGUCAUGGACUAAACUUGGGCUCCCAGUUUCCUUGUUGUUGUUUCUUCAGCUAGCAUCAUUGUUUUCAUCUCAGUUAUUAAAGUAAUAAUGAUGCUUCAUAAAUUCAGAGUCACAAAAAAACACCAAACAAACCAAAUCUGAAAAAAAUUCACUUCUUCAUCAAAUGAGUUUAAUCGGUCAGAACAUGAGGUUUGAGUUUUCAUGAGGAGGAAACGAGAAAGAUCUGCUCUGACAGUGAGAAACACAGACGCCUGAAUCUACACUGACAGACAGACAAACACAGACAGAGAGACAGACACACAAACACAGACACACAGAGAUUUUCCUCUUUGUCUCUUUGCUGUGAUGACUGAAGUCACAAAAACAAAGUUUUCUUCGUCACUUUUAUGAUUGAACCAAAGAAGUUAAAGAACCAAACUCUCAGAUUUUGUUCUUCUCAAUUUUAUUUGAACCAUUUAGAUUUUUCUCCUGAUCAAUAUUCAAUGAUCAGAUUGAUCAGGUUCCUGUUUUGGCUCCACUGCCUCUUUUCUGCAGCUCAAUAACUGCUCAUAUGGUUUGAAAGGUUCCUGCAGUAAAACCCGAUUAGAGAGUGGACUAAAUGAAAUGUGAGUGAACUCAGCCAUCAGUGAAUCAAUGACAAAGUGAGAGGAAGAGUGGAUCUGUCUGCUGUCUGACCUUGUUGAUCCUGAUGAAGGUGAGGGAGAAGAGUAAAGCAGUAAAGGUGAUGUUGUUGCAGACAGAGUCAGCUGACCUGUCUCAUCAGAGUCUCAUCCAUUCUCUGUUUAGCAGAGCGCUGAUGUUACAGUCUGAGAGCACAUUCAGGUUCAGCUUCACAUGGGCUGGAUCUGCUCAAUACAAACUCUUGAGACCAGCCUGGUUGAGGGAGGUGGGCUCAGUGUCCUGGGUGACUCUCUCUGAGCUCUUCUUGGUUGAGAGUCUUUCUGGUUUGUCUCUGACUUCCAUGAACUCAGAUCUGGAGGAUUGCUGGCUGGUCCGGUCCAGUUCUGACAGUAGAGACAACACAGUCAGUUAUUCUGGGUUGAGUGUUCUUGUUGAAGAUCAGUGUACAGUGAGGGAUGAAGGCAGACAAAGAUCCUCCUGUUUCCUCCAUGUCACAGUUCAAGUUCAUUUUGAAGACUUUGAUUGAUCCGAGCGCUGAAGAGGAACAGGAAACGAGGAGUAGAGAGUGAGGGAGGACUUACAGCAAAGGAUCAUGGGAGUCCAACCAGAAACUGCUGCAACAAGGACUCCACCUUCUGAUCACCUGAACCUCUAAUCCAAACCAGUGCUCCAUCACAUUUGAUGUCUUGUCUGUUAUUUUACAUGGAGGGUCAGAGCAGACCAGAUCAUGAGCUCUGACAGACUGGAUCUGGUCCAAAGGUCUCCUGUUGGAGUUCUCGAAGCUCCAUAUUUUAAUCCUGAACACCUGAAGUUUGAUUAUUAAUUAUUUUUAUCUUCAUUCUCUUUCCUUUUUUCAGAUUGUAUAAAUGCAGUUUGUCAGAGAUCAGCUGUUCUUCUCUGGCCUCAGCUCUGAAGUCCAACCCCUCCCAUCUGAGACAUCUGAACCUGAGAAACAACACUCUGCAGGAUUCAGGAGUGAAGCUUCUCUCUGCAGGACUGCAGAGACCAAACUGCAGACUGGAGACUCUGAAGUGAGACACCAUUUCCUUCUGAUCUAACAAUAAGAUGUGACAGCUGCUGCCUUAGAUUUUUCUCUGUGGUUUUUCCAUCAACUUUGGUCGAGCAGUUUGAAUUUGUCGUUGUAAAACUUCAACACAGGAAGAAAAAUCCGACAUUUCAGAGUUGACUUUGAGGAGAACGAUGGAUGUAGAAAGGAAGCAGGAGAAAAUCAGUCCCACAAAUAUUACACAUGCUUGUAGAGGGCAGGAGCAGCACAGACUAAAGGCUGAUAUUGAACUGAUCCACAGUUAAUGUGAUCACUAAUGAAUGAAGUGUCAGAGAAAUGAUGAGCUGCAGAUUGAAACCUGAAGAACAAAGUUAAUCCAACUCUGGAUAUUUCAUUUGGAAACUCUUGAAAACUUGAAUUUCUUCUUUGCUCAGUCGUGUUCAAAUGUAAAAACCAGAUCCAGAUUUGUCUGCAGUUUUCACUUCAGUUUGUUGAACAUUAACAUCAUCUUGUCCAGUUGGUCCAUAAAAACCUCUCUGAUCAAUGAUCUGUUGGUUUAUUUAAGAGUAGUUUGGCAGUUGUUGACAGCAGACGGACAGACCCCUGAAUAAACUCCUGACUGUUUUCAUCUUCAUGAAGAAUUCAGGACUACAAAAGAACCUUUGAGAUUUCUCACAGGAGUUUCUCAGGAUCUCACUAAAGUUUUCUGUUUCUUUAAAAUUUUCUCGACUGAUAAAUUCCUCUGGAUCUUCAAAAAGUUUAGAGAGGAUUUUACAAAGUUCCUGAAGAUCAACUCUGAAAAAGUUCUUCUUCCGUGUCCUUCAGGGUUCAAGAACAUUGAAUCAUUAAAAACAGGAACAGUUUCUUCAGAGGUUACAUGAUUUUUUUCUUUUUUCAGACUGUGACAGGUGUUUAUUAGUCUUUUUGACUCAUUACAAUAAUGAGGAUAAAGUCAUGGACUAAACUUGGGCUCCCAGUUUCCUUGUUGUUGUUUCUUCAGCUAGCAUCAUUGUUUUCAUCUCAGUUAUUAAAGUAAUAAUGAUGCUUCAUAAAUUCAGAGUCACAAAAAAACACCAAACAAACCAAAUCUGAAAAAAAUUCACUUUUUCAUCAAAUGAGUUGAAUCGGUCAGAACAUGAGGUUUGAGUUUUCAUGAGGAGGAAACGAGAAAGAUCUGCUCUGACAGUUAGAAACACAGACGCCUGAAUCUACACUGACAGACAGACAAACACAGACAGAGAGACAGACACACAAACACAGACACACAGAGAUUUUCCUCUUUGUCUCUUUGCUGUGAUGACUGAAGUCACAAAAACAAAGUUGUAUUCGUCACUUUUAUGAUUGAACCAAAUAAGUUAAAGAACCAAACUCAUAGAUUUUCUUCUUCUCAAUAUUAUUUGAACCAUUUUGAUUUUUCUUCUGAUCAAUAUUCAAUGAUCAGAUUGAUCAGGUUCCUGUUUUGGCUCCACUGCCUCUUUUCUGCAGCUCAAUAACUGCUCAUAUGGUUUGAAAGGUUCCUGCAGUAAAACCCGAUUAGAGAGUGGACUAAAUGAAAUGUGAGUGAACUCAGCCAUCAGUGAAUCAAUGACAAAGUGAGAGUAAGAGUGGAUCUGUCUGCUGUCUGACCUUGUUGAGCCUGAUGAAGGUGAGGGAGAAGAGUAAAGCAGUAAAGGUGAUGUUGUUGCAGACAGAGUCAGCUGACCUGUCUCAUCAGAGUCUCAUCCAUUCUCUGUUUGGCAGAGCACUGAUGUUAGAGUCUGAGAGCACAUUCAGGUUCAGCUUCACAUGGGCUGGAUCUGCUCAAUACAAACUCUUGAGACCAGCCUGGUUGAGGGAGGUGGGCUCAGUGUCCUGGGUGACUCUCUCUGAGCUCUUCUUGGUUGAGAGUCUUUCUGGUUUGUCUCUGACUUCCAUGAACUCAGAUCUGGAGGAUUGCUGGCUGGUCCGGUCCAGUUCUGACAGUAGAGACAACACAGUCAGUUAUUCUGGGUUGAGUGUUCUUGUUGAAGAUCAGUGUACAGUGAGGGAUGAAGGCAGACAAAGAUCCUCCUGUUUCCUCCAUGUCACACUUCAAGUUCAUUUUGAAGACUUUGAUUGAUCCGAGCGCUGAAGAGGAACAGGAAACGUGGAGUAGAGAGUGAGGGAGGACUUACAGCAAAGGAUCAUGGGAGUCCAACCAGCAACUGCUGCAACAAGGACUCCACCUUCUGAACACCUGAACCUCUAAUCCAAACCAGUGCUCCAUCACAUUUGAUGUCUUGUCUGUUAUUUUACAUGGAGGGUCAGAGCAGACCAGAUAAUGAGCUCUGACAGACUGGAUCUGGUCCAAAGGUCUCCUGUUGGAGUUCUCUAAGCUCCAUAUUUUAAACCUGAACACGUGAAGUUUGAUUAUUAAUUAUUUUUAUCUUCAUUCUCUUUCCUUUUUUCAGACUGAGGAGCUGCAGUUUGUCAGAGAUCAGCUGUUCUUCUCUGGCCUCAGCUCUGAAGUCCAACCCCGACCAUCUGAAACAUCUGGACCUGAGCAGAAACAAUCUGCAGGAUUCAGGAGUGAAGCUGCUGUGUGACUCUCUGCAGAGUCCAAACUGUAAACUGGAGACUCUAGAGUGAGACUUUUUUCCUCCAUUCAAACAUGAUCAUGAUUUGUUUGUGAUGAUGACACUAAACUGCUGACUCAGGACUGAAACACUGACCCAGACUGAACACCUUCAGUCCAGAGUAGAUUUUCUGCUUCAGUGGAUUAUUUGAUUGACUCCAGUUAGAUCACUGCUGAGCUCCAGUGAAUUAAAACCUGAACCCAAGAAGAAAACUCUUUGUAGAGUUCACAGUGAGAAGCACAUUCAGACAGAAAACAGAAGCAGGGGGAGAUUUGUCAGACGAGAACCAUUCAAACUUUAGUUCAGGACAAGAAAUGGAAAAAACUCAGAGUUUAGUUUCUGACUCUGAUGAAAGUCCAGCUCUGUUACUUUGAAUUUUGUUUUUGAAUCUUUGUGUGAAAAUCUGAAUUUUCUGGUUUAUCUGCACUUUUCUGAAGCCUUGCUGUGUUUAGACUGAAAUAUUUACCUCUCAAAGACGUGAUAUUUUUGGUUCAGCAAAGUGAAAAUAUUCUGAACAUCCUUUGUUUCCCAUCCGUCCUGAAGUCGCUGACAUUUUCUGAAAAUAUUGAGCUGCAUCUACAAUCAGUAAAAAAGUCUCUGAGUUUUUUAUUUCACUAUUUAAUGUGUUUUUGAAUUCAGUGUUUCAAACUGACUUCCUGUUUGGUUCAGCUCUUUGGAGCGUCACUUUUCUUUGAUUCAUACUUUCCAAACCUUUCCCCUGAACUCUACAGAUUUAAGACAUCAGGUUUCAAACUGGAUCAUUUUUCUCUAAAAUCUCAUUAUUUCCUCUUUAUUUAGGUUGUGGCGCUGCAGUUUGACGAAGAUCAGCUGUUCUUCUCUGGCCUCAGCUCUGAAGUCCAACCCCUCCCAUCUGAAAACUCUGUGGCUGUAUGGAAACAAUCUGCAGGGUUCAGACGUGGAGCUGCUGUGUGAUCUUCAGAAGAGUCCAGACUACAGACUGGAGGAUCUGGAGUCAGUAUAGAGUUGGAGUUAGUCUGUGCUGAUCUCUCCUGUUCCUCUCCACACAGUAUCACAGCAGAUAUUCAGUAUUUCCUGCUGACUCUUCGACCCUCUCAGAGGAUUAUCUCUUUAGUGAAGCUGUGAGAACAGAAAUCAUCAAACCAGGAGUGUAAGAGUGUCAGUGAUGAAAAAAGUGUCUCCUCGUCUCUAUAUUUCAGAUCAAAUGUAGAAAUGAGACAUAAUGAAACAGAAAUGUUCAGUUUCUGCUCUGAAGUCCAGUUUAUAGUUCUCUGUAUUCAACACAGACUUUAUUUCUCUGCUAACUUGUUGAUUUUGAGCUCUAAGUCUGAAAACAGACAGCUGUUCUUUAUACUUGUUAUUUUCACAGCAGGUUUGUUCGAUCAGCUUUAACACAUUUGACAGGAAUGAUUUCUUUAUUUUGAUGAUGUUGGUUUAUUUGUGAGGAAACCUGCUGCUUUACACCAUCACUUCUGGUCUGAGCAGGACUGAGACCUGCUGGUCUGUAAACUGGAUGUUCUUCAGUCCAGCUGAUGAAGUGAGUCUCAGAGUGGAAACACUGAACGUCUUUUUUUCUCUCCUCAGAUGGAGUUAACAUCUGUCAGAGUGAAUAAGAAGAGGAUCGUGUGUUUCCUGACGAUCAGAGAGGUGGAGGCAGCAGCAGUGAGGGUGAGGUGAGUCUCUGACUGAGAGACUGACUGACCAAUCACAGCGGGCGGAGAGGACUCUGGGAGCUGCACUUUGACCUGCUCUGAGAUCAGCUCAGGACCUGGACUCUGGAUAUUUGAUAUUUUCCCUCAUACUCUGGGAUCAAACAGUCUGAACAGGUUUGUUUUGUUGAUGGAAACAUGAUCAUAAAUUUACACUUUGAUUGGAUUACUUUGUUUUCACCAUGAUGCAGCGCCACCCAGUGGAAAUAUAAAGAGGUGGAGUUGAUUUAUUCCCUCAUAUUUCUGCAGCAGGAGUUGAUACCAUGUGUGAGAGUAGAUCAGUCAGAAGUUCAGAUUAAACCCAAAGGUUUUUUCUUUCCUUUGCACCGUUAGAGACCGAAUAUAAACUGAAGGGAGAGGAAGAGAAGUGAGGAGAGAUGGAGGUGAAGGGAGGAGGAGGAGGACAGGGUUUGGGGUUUUAACAAAAAUCUGAAGCUUUAUUCUUUCACUUGAUUAUUUUUAUUCAUCCGUUUUCUUCUUCAUUUUCUGAACUGAUUGUAAAUAUUGACUGGAGGUAAAUUGACCUUAUUUUAUAUUAUUAGACAUUAUUUUCCGUCUCUUUACAUGUUUUUGUUCUCAUAUCAUCUUUGUGCUCAUCAAUAAUCGAUUCCCUCCAGUUUGAACAAAUACAAUUAUUAAACCAUAAAUGAGACCUGAGAGUAAAAUUAAAAUGUGUGAAAUAUAAUCAGUCAAAGGAAAGAUUCUUAAACAAAAACAAAAUCAUUAUUUUUACUUUAUUAUGAUGGAGAAGUUUUCCUCUGACAGACAAAAAUAACCAUAUUGACCGGAGUCUGGAAAAAGUGAGAUCAGCAUCUAUUCAGGGUGAAGUCAUUAAUGUGGUCGAUGCUGUUUUAUAAACUCAGUGUUGUUGAUUACAAUCUCAGCUUCAUAAACUGAUGCUACAGUGGAGUGACUUCCUGUAAAAUCCACUGGCUUUGUGAGACCGUCAGCUUUCAGGAGAUCAGUUUGUGUUUCUGUGACACUCCAAAGCUUUUCUAUCCCACAGAAAAGAUCGGUGUGUUUUCAGAGACCUUCCUGAUCCCAUCCCUCCAAAAUAAAAAUAAUCUGAUGGUUUAUGGAUUCAUUUCAGUAACAAAGUGUCAUUUCUGUUGUUAGCCAAUCAGAGGCUGUAUCUGCCAUCAGCUGACCUGUAAAGGUCCAAUCAGAAGUCAGGACAGCUCAUGCCACAGUCUGAUCACACUACAGACACAUAAAACAUAGAACUAUUGUAAACAGAUUUGUCCUCUUCAGUUUAUCUACUAUCAAUAGAUCUGUGCUCUGUCUGUGUAACACUCUGUUGGUUCUUCAUUUACACCAGAUCAUUUUUUAUUUCAUUUCACUGUAACAAUGCCAUUUAAAGAUAAUAAAAACUUUAUUUGAACCAAAACAUGUUAAAAACGUCAACUCGGCUCGUUUCAUUCACUGUGUGCAAUUGAUUAUUAUUAUUUUUCAUUCAAACAGAAACUAGAUUUGGUCUUUAAAAAGUCCUCAAAGUGAGUCUGAAAAGUAGAGGAAGGUUUUAUCAUCAGGGUGCAGCACAGUUGUUUCCUGUGUUUUCAUUUGUGAUAUUCUCUCUAAGGUGUGUUAUUGUUCAUUUAAAGUAUGUGGAGGACAAAUCCACACAUCUAACAAAGAAGGUAAAAUAUAAAGAUAGGAGAUUUCUGCAUGACAUCAACGAUAUCCUGGAUUUAGUUUUCUAAGCAACAGGUGGUCGUCUUUUAUCGGGGGUACUUUGAUCCAGAAAUCUGAAAAGGGGUUACUAAAGCAAAAGAAGAAAAACCAGAGACUGUAUAUAGAAUGGACAGAGUCUGCCUCCUCGCUGGGUGAAGCCACUCUGAGAACAGCACCCUCUGUUGAUGGGCUGCAGUAUAGGUCAUAAAUCCCGCCUGCGCCAGCAAAGCUUAUGGAGCUGUGGACGAACUUUAGAAAUUUAUUACACAGAACAUAAUUUUUUCUCCCUCCUGGUUGUGAUGUUGACAUGUAGUUAUUGUCAGACUGGUUUGUGCUCAAGUCCUCUUUUUUCUGUGAAGCUCCAUUUUUAAAAGUUAUUAGGGGGUUCAUGUUUGCUAUGACGUUUCACAGCCAUAAGGAAUAACCAAUCGGAGCCUAGCACUUCUAGCCAAUCAGAUGCGAAGGAGGGUGGGACCUUCCCCUACCAUCCCACGAAAAAAAAAACCAAACACGUCCGGGUUUGCCGACCUUUAUUUCUGAGCCCCAGAUAACAGGACAGAGAUACCUAAAGCAUACAACGUGAACUUGUGUUAUCACAUCAACAUAUUUGGCUCCUACACUGAAUAUAAUGUUGGACAGUGAUCUUUGUAAAGUGAGGUGAAGGAGGAGUUUGUGUAGUGACAACACAAUCACACUGUGUGCAAAAAUAAAAACCUGUUCAACCAAAUCUUCACAUUUAGUUGGGGUAUGAGAAGAGGAGUGC
rnacentral:lncRNA from 1 species